AACAAAGAAAAGCAAUAAACACAAAAUUAACCGAAUAAUUAUGAGUUUUUAUUGAAUAAACUAGAACACGUAGUUACGUGGUUCAGAUAGUUCCAAAGAGAUUCAUCAAUAAUUCCUAGUCAUAUGAAAUUAGCUACUCAUAAUUGAAUUAAUAAGCAACAUAAUAAAAAUAAGAAACAAGACCAUACGGCAGAAGCUAUGUGGCUGCUUGUUGAUAACGCGCCGCUCUGUUCCUUCCUUCUAGUGAUGCGUGAUUCUCCUAUUUUCUCCAAGUCUGCGUUCUCC
rnacentral:lncRNA from 1 species